rnacentral:rRNA from 1 species
GAUCAGUAGCUGGUCUGAGAGGACGACCAGCCACACUGGAACUGAGACACGGUCCAGACUCCUACCGGGAGGCAGCAGUGGGGAAUUUUGGACAAUGGGCGAAAGCCUGAUCCAGCAAUGCCGCGUGAGUGAAGAAGGCCUUCGGGUUGUAAAGCUCUUUUGUCAGGGAAGAAACGGUGAGGGCUAAUAUCUCUUGCUAAUGACGGUACCUGAAGAAUAAGCACCGGCUAACUACCGUGCCAGCAGCCGCGGUAAUACGUAGGGUGCAAGCGUUAAUCGGAAUUACUGGGCGUAAAGCGUGCGCAGGCGGUUUUGUAAGUCUGAUGUGAAAUCCCCGGGCUCAACCUGGGAAUUGCAU